GACGAACGCUGGCGGCGUGCUUAACACAUGCAAGUCGAACGGAGAGGCCCUGCUUUUGUGGGGUGCUCGAGUGGCGAACGGGUGAGUAACACGUGAGUAACCUGCCCUUGACUUUGGGAUAACUUCAGGAAACUGGGGCUAAUACCGGAUAGGAGCUCCUGCUGCAUGGUGGGGGUUGGAAAGUUUCGGCGGUUGGGGAUGGACUCGCGGCUUAUCAGCUUGUUGGUGGGGUAGUGGCUUACCAAGGCUUUGACGGGUAGCCGGCCUGAGAGGGUGACCGGCCACAUUGGGACUGAGAUACGGCCCAGACUCCUACGGGAGGCAGCAGUGGGGAAUAUUGCACAAUGGGCGGAAGCCUGAUGCAGCAACGCCGCGUGCGGGAUGACGGCCUUCGGGUUGUAAACCGCUUUCGCCUGUGACGAAGCGUGAGUGACGGUAAUGGGUAAAGAAGCACCGGCUAACUAUGUG
rnacentral:rRNA from 1 species